GGGGGAGGCGUGGCGGGCACCAUGGCAACCCGUGGCUGAAGGGUGGGAGGUGGCUGUGAGGGGCGAGUCCUGCCUUAGGGCUUGGUGUGGAGUGCUGCUUGCUACAGGGACUCAGCCAUGGCAGGUAAAAGCAGCAAACCCAAGCGUGGCAAAGGAAAAAGCUCCAAAAAGAAAACGAAGAAGGUGGUGAAGGAUGUGGAUAUCCUCAGCCCAGCUGCCAUGCUCAACGCCCAUUACAUCUGCCAUAAUGUCCCCGCCUGCCUGGAGUUGCGGGGCUUUCCUUGGCCUGGCUCCCCCAAAAAGAAGGGGAAGAGACGAAAGUAGCUGGCUGGAAAGCAAAGGAUGCGAUGAAAGCCGAGCUCCCCCUGAUAAGAAGAGGCUUUUUUGAACUUGAGACUCAUACAAUAUCUCCAGUGGUUAGCUCAAAUAUUUUGCCGUAAUCACUGUUGUGUCCACACAAAGACACUCUUCUUAUAGCUCAAGCUUACAGUGACAAAUGGCAAGUUGCACUAGUGCUGUCGUAAUUUCAGCUGUGGCACUUAGACCUUAGUUCUGUGCGGAAUAAAACAUUAAGUCUCAGCA